rnacentral:ncRNA from 2 species
CUGACAUGUGUGCGAGUCAACGGGCGAGUAAACCCAUUAGGCGCAAGGAAGCUGAUUGGUGGGAUCCUCUUGUGGGUUGCUCCGCCGACCGACCCCGAUCUUUUUUGAAGGGUUCGAGUGAGAGCAUACCUGUCGGGACCCGAAAGAUGGUGAUCUAUGCCUAAGCGGGCCAAGCCAGAGGAAACUCUAGUGGAGGCCCGCAGCAAUACUGACGUGCAAAUCGUUCGUCUGACUUGGGUAUAGGGGCGAAAGACUAAUCGAACCGUCUAGUAGCUGG